rnacentral:rRNA from 1 species
UACGUAGGGGGCAAGCGUUGUCCGGAUUUACUGGGCGUAAAGAGCGCGUAGGCGGAAGCGCCAGUCCGGCCUGAAAGCCCCCGGCUCAACCGGGGAGAGUGGCUGGAAACUGCGUUUCUUGAGGGCGAGAGAGGAGGGUGGAAUUCCUGGUGUAGCGGUGAAAUGCGUAGAGAUCAGGAGGAACACCCGGGGCGAAGGCGGCCCUCUGGCUCGACUCUGACGCUGAGGCGCGAAAGCGUGGGGAGCGAACGGG